GACUAUGACUUGAGCCAACUCCAGCAGCCUGACACAGUGGAGCCUGAUGCCAUCAAGCCUGUGGGAAUCCGGCGGCUGGAUGAGAGACCCAUCCACGCUGAGCCACAGUAUCCAGUCCGAUCUGCAGCCCCACACCCUGGGGACAUCGGGGACUUCAUUAACGAGGGCCUUAAAGCUGCUGACAAUGAUCCCACAGCUCCGCCAUAUGACUCCCUCUUAGUCUUUGACUACGAAGGUAGUGGCUCCACUGCCGGGUCCUUGAGCUCCCUUAAUUCCUCAAGUAGUGGUGGAGAGCAGGACUAUGAUUACCUGAACGACUGGGGACCACGAUUCAAGAAACUCGCUGACAUGUAUGGUGGAGGUGAUGACUGAACUUCAGGGUGAACUUGGUUUUUGGACAAGUACAAACAAUUUCAACUGAUAUUCCCAAAAAGCAUACAGAAGCUAGGCUUUAACUUUGUAGUCUACUAGCACAGUGCUUGCUGGAGGCUUUUGGCAUAGGCUGCAAACCAAUUUGGGCUCAGAGGGAAUAUCAGUGAUCCAAUACUGUUUGGAAAAACACUGAGCUCAGUUACACUUGAAUUUUACAGUACAGAAGCACUGGGAUUUUAUGUGCCUUUUUGUACCUUUUUCAGAUUGGAAUUAGUUUUAUGUUUAAGGCUUUAAUGGUACUGAUUUCUGAAACGAUAAGUAAAAGACAAAAUAUUUUGUGGUGGGAGCAGUAAGUUCAACCAUGAUAUGCUUCAACACGCUUUUGUUACAUUGCAUUUGCUUUUGUUAAAAUACAGAAUUAAACAAACAAAAAAAAAAACCGAACUCAUGGAGCGAUCGAUUUUAUUAUCUUGGGGGAUGAGACCAUGAGAUUGGAAAAUGUACAUUACUUCUAGUUUUAGACUUUAGAAUUUUUUUUUCACUAAAAUCUUAAAAACUUACGCAGCUGGUUGCAAAUAAAGGGAGUUUUCAUAUCACCAAUUUGUAGCAAAAUUGAAUUUUUUCAUAAACUAGAAUGUUAGACACAUUUUGGUCUUAAUCCAUGUACACUUUUUUUAUUUACUGUAUUUUUUCCACUUCACUGUAAAAAAAUGGUAUGUGUACAUAAUGUUUUAUUGGCAUAGUCUAUGGAGAAGUGCAGAAACUUCAGAACAUGUGUAUGUAUUAUUUGGACAAUGAAUUCAGGUUUUUUGCAUGUUUAUAUCUUUCGUUAUGGAUAAAGUAUUUACAAACAAAGUGACAUUUGAUUCAAUUGUUGAGCUGUAGUUAGAAUACUCAAUUUUUAAUUUUUUAAUUUUUUUUUUUAUUUUUUAUUUUCUUUUUUUGUUUUGGGGAGGGAGCAAAGUUCUUAGCACAAAUGUUUUACAUAAUUUGUACCAAAAAAAUUAAAAAAAAGGAAAGAAAAAGAAAAGAAAGGGGUGGCCUGACACUGGUAGCACUACUAAGGGUGUGUUUUUAAAAAAAAAAAAUGAAAACACAAAAAAAGCUUUUAAAACUGGAGAGACUUCUGACAACAGCUUUGCCUCUGUAUUGUGUACCAGAAUAUAAAUGAUACACCUCUGACCCCCAGCGUUCUGAAUAAAAUGCUAAUUUUGGAUCUGG